UGUAAUAAAGUUAUAACUAAUGUAAGUUUGUCAGGCUUAAGAAUAGAUAAUUCCAC
rnacentral:tRNA from 1 species